rnacentral:rRNA from 1 species
GACAUAGGGGGCAAGCGUUGUUCGGAAUUAUUGGGCGUAAAGGGUUCGUAGGCGGCCAACUAAGUCAGAGGUGAAAUCCCCCGGCUUAACCUGGGAACUGCGUCUGAUACUGGACGGCUAGAGUUUGGGAGAGGGAUGCAGAAUUCCAGGUGUAGCGGUGAAAUGCGUAGAUAUCUGGAGGAAUACCGGUGGCGAAGGCGGCAUCCUGGACCAACACUGACACUGAAUCGCGAAAGCUAGGGGAGCAAACGGG